UUUAUUAGAUCCUAUCAAAAGCCCCAAACCAUGAAACCCUAAUUAUCGAGAGAUGAAGAACAGAAUCCUCAGAAUCAUCUAAUAUAUGGUUUUUGGGAUUUUUUGACACAUAUUGCAAGAUAUCAAAAGAUCAGAGAGAGAUUUUGUAGUUUGUGGUUCAGUUUCGGGUUUGUGAGGCUUUUAGUCUAAGAGUGUUGAAGCUUAUUUUAAAACAGAAACGUGAGAGAGACAUAUAGACAGAGGGAGAAAGAGAGACAGAGACAGAGAGAGAUUAAGUGUGACAGGAGCUUCUUAGAUGACGAGGACACUUUACAUUCGGUUACAUGCUGGAGGGUAUUGGGCGGCUGAUGGAUCGUAUAAUGGUGGGGAAACAAGAUGCUGCAGAGUUGAUUUUGAAAACCAAAAUUUGAAGAUGUUGCUAGAUAUAUUGUCGAGCGGUGGAUUUUCAGAGAAUAUGAGUAAGCUCUCCUACUUCCCAAGUUCCCAUCCGGUGUUGUUAAUCAGGACAAGAAGGAUUUAUGCUCUGAUAUUGAUGUUGCGGAGAUGUUAACCAUCUCUACUUUGUAAUUUCAAGUCUUUAUAGAACCAUCUCUACUUUGUAAUUUCAUGUCGAAACUCUAUUUUCAUGUACGUGUGUAUUCUAGUGACUUACUGACACUGUCACCAAAACGACAGCAACAACCUC